GGCGGGGACUCUAGCAAGACUGCCGGUGCAAACCGUGAGGAAGGUGGGGAUGACGUCAAAUCAUCACGGCCCUUACGUCCUGGGCUACACACGUGCUACAAUGGCAAGUACAGAAAGCAGCUACCUGGCAACAGGAUGCGAAUCUCCAAAGCUUGUCUCAGUUCGGAUUGGAGUCUGCAACUCGACUCUAUGAAGCUGGAAUCGCUAGUAAUCGGAUAUCAGCCAUGAUCCGGUGAAUACGUUCCCGGGCCUUGUACACACCGCCCGUCAAGCCAUGGAAGCUGGGGGUACCUGAAGUCGGUGACCGCAAGGAGCUGCCUAGGGUAAAACUAGUAACUAGGGCUAAGUCGUAACAAGGUAGCCGUACCGGAAGGUGCGGCUGGAACACCUCCUUU
rnacentral:rRNA from 1 species